rnacentral:rRNA from 1 species
CCUACGGGAGGCAGCAGUGGGGAAUAUUGCACAAUGGGGGAAACCCUGAUGCAGCGACGCCGCGUGAGUGAAGAAGUAAUUCGGUAUGUAAAGCUCUAUCAGCAGGGAAGAAAAUGACGGUACCUGAGUAAGAAGCCCCGGCUAACUACGUGCCAGCAGCCGCGGUAAUACGUAGGGGGCAAGCGUUAUCCGGAUUUACUGGGUGUAAAGGGAGCGUAGACGGCAGUGCAAGUCUGGAGUGAAAGGCGGGGGCGCAACCCCCGGACUGCUCUGGAAACUGUACGGCUAGAGUGCAGGAGAGGUAAGUGGAAUUCCUAGUGUAGCGGUGAAAUGCGUAGAUAUUAGGAGGAACACCAGUGGCGAAGGCGGCUUACUGGACUGUAACUGACGUUGAGGCUCGAAAGCGUGGGGAGCAAACAGGAUUAGAUACCCGGGUAGUC